UUUUAUAUGAUGUACAAAUAUCACGACGGUCAACUUAGCCAUAUGCUCUGAUGAUAACGCCUGUGACAAGGCACUUUAUCCCUGAUA
rfam:Trichoderma gamsii strain T6085 Scaffolds0025.1, whole genome shotgun sequence.